rnacentral:rRNA from 1 species
AUACGGAGGGUGCAAGCGUUAAUCGGAAUUACUGGGCGUAAAGCGCGCGUAGGCGGUUUGGUAAGUCAGAUGUGAAAGCCCUGGGCUUAACCUGGGAACUGCAUUUGAUACUGCCAAACUAGAGUAUGGUAGAGGGAAGUGGAAUUCCACAUGUAGCGGUGAAAUGCGUAGAUAUGUGGAGGAACACCAGUGGCGAAGGCGGCUUCCUGGACCAAUACUGACGCUCAGGUGCGAAAGCGUGGGGAGCAAACAGGAUUAGAAACCCCAGUAGUCC